UCCGGUUUGUCACCGGCAGUCAUCCUAGAGUGCCCACCCAAAGUGCUGGCAACUAAGAUCAAGGGUUGCGCUCGUUGCGGGACUUAACCCAACAUCUCACGACACGAGCUGACGACAACCAUGCACCACCUGUCUCCUUUGUCCCGAAGGAAAGGUACAUCUCUGCACCGGUCAAAGGGAUGUCAAGACCUGGUAAGGUUCUUCGCGUUGCUUCGAAUUAAACCACAUACUCCACUGCUUGUGCGGGUCCCCGUCAAUUCCUUUGAGUUUCAGUCUUGCGACCGUACUCCCCAGGCGGAAUGCUUAAAGCGUUAGCUGCGCCACUGACGAGCAAGCUCGCCAACGGCUAGCAUUCAUCGUUUACGGCGUGGACUAC
rnacentral:misc_RNA from 1 species